rnacentral:rRNA from 1 species
CGCAAGCUCGCGAGAGUAAGCUAAUCUCUUAAAGCCGUUCUCAGUUCGGACUGUAGGCUGCAACUCGCCUACACGAAGUCGGAAUCGCUAGUAAUCGCGGAUCAGCAUGCCGCGGUGAAUACGUUCCCGGGUCUUGUACACACCGCCCGUCAAGCCAUGGGAGCCGGGGGUGCCUGAAGUUCGUGACCGCAAGGAGCGACCUAGGGCAAAACUGGUGACUGGGGCUAAGUCGUAACAAGGUAAC